UGUUGGUCUUUGCUCCUGCGGAGGGAUCAUU
rnacentral:rRNA from 1 species